AUUGAACGCUGGCGGCAGGCCUAACACAUGCAAGUCGAACGAGUGGCGGACGGGUUAGUAAUGUCUGGUAAACUGCCUGCUGGAGGGGGAUAACUACUGAAAACGGUAUCUACUACCGCCUACCAUCGGAUGUGCCCAAAUGGGAUUAGCUGGUAGGUGGGGUAAAGGCUCCCCUAGGCGACGAUCCCUAGCUGGUCUGAGAGGAUGACCAGCCACACUGGAACUGAGGCACGGUCCAGACUCCUACGGGAGGCAGCAGGGGGGAAUAUUGCACAAUGGGCGCAAGCCUGAUGCAGCCAUGCCGCGUGUAUGAAGAAGGCCUUCGGGGUGUAAAGUACUUUCAGCGGGGAGGCGUUACCCGCAGAAGAAGCACCGGCUAACGCCGUGCCAGCAGCCGCGGUAAUUC
rnacentral:rRNA from 1 species